AAGGGAGUAGUUCCUGUUUGCACCCCAACUUGUCCUAGUAAAUCAAAUUGCAAAAAUGAUACAACAUUAUUCAACUUGAAAGGAGAAAUUCUCGAAACUCUAAAUUACGGACGGUAUGCAACUGGCUGCGGCAGAUCUUUCAUGUUUUCUACGAACAC